AUGGCGGAGCUUGCAUCGGGCGCCGUGAGCUCGCUGCUGGGCGUCAUCCGCAAUGAGGCCCUGCUGCUGGGCCGCGUCCGGCAUGACGUGCAGUUCAUCCAGGAGGAGAUGGAGAGCAUGCAGAGCUUCUUAGCGCACCUGUCAAAGAAGGCGCCCGGCGGUGGCGAGCAAGACGAGCAGAUGCGCACGUGGAUGAACCAGGUCCGACUGCUCGCCCAGGACAGCAACAACUGCAUCGACAUGUACCUGUACCGCGGCAACCCCGAGCUCCAUCUCGCCAGCGGCGGCCUCCGGCGCUACGUCUUCUGGCUUCCCUGGUUUGUGCACAAGAUUGUGGCGCAGCGUCGCGCGGCCAUCCAGCUGGGUGUGCUCAGGGAAAGGGCGCAUGACAUUGGCGAGCGGCGAACCAGGUAUGGCGUUGAGGUCCCGGUGAAGGAGGCGGCAGCGGCACUGUCGCCUACAGCAGAGGAGCAAGCAUCCUCAUCAUCCGCUAGUUCCGGAGAUGAAAAAGAAAAGAGCAACGAUCAACUCAUGCUAGCAAUGGCAACGACUAACCACUCUGGUGUAAGAGGGACAUUUUACCAGCCUCGUACGCCGGAGGAGAACACUAGGGUGAAGCUAGCAGAAUGGAUAGAGGAUGUCGCACAACACCACACUGCUGAGGGGGAGCCUGUACCAUCAGUCGCCAUUGUGGCACUGGAUAAGGAGGAAACCCUGGCUAUUGUGAAGGAAGCUUCGGCAAUGUGGGAAAAACAUUGUCCCAGCAGGCCCAGUGUCAUGGUCGACAUCCCAACAGUGCACUUGUUUGCUCGAGCCCUUCGAAUUCGGGACAUUCUGUACUACAUCCUGCGGCAGCUUCAAUCUGCCGAACACCAGCCCCAACAACAGCAAGGUCAAGUCAGCGAAGACGAGACUAGUAAAAUAAAAAGUGAUAUUCGCUUAGAAAAAUGGAAGCUGCUCAAGCAAUUGAUAGAACAAAUCCAAGCAAUGAACCUGGACAACAAGUUUGAAGAAAUCAAGAACACCAUGGAAAAAAUGAAGGGCGGACAGCUGCAGAUCAACUUGGAACAAAUGGAUGAAGACCUGCUGGGUCUGCUAGAAUCUGUUAAAGAUAAACCCUUAGGCGUACUCCUCCAAGCGCUGUGGCAUCUCAAGCACAAGACAACUGAACGUGCGCCUGCUACCAAACAAGACCUAGAAAGGAAGGAAGACACAAUCAGAGAUGUAGAAAGGAAGGAAGACACAAUCACACACGAGGCUAUCAUCAAGGGAACAUCCAAGAAGCUUAAAGGGCAUAUGGAAGAAGAUGAAGGAAAGGGAAUUCGUCUCAAUGAAGCCCAUUAUGAACAUAUCCUAAGGGAGGUGUUCCCCCAGCACCGCAAGGUCCUUCAGGAGAAAUCCGUGCACAAACCAUGUGCUGAGCUGCAGGAAGACAAAUCCACGAAGAAACCAAGUCCAGUUGAUCUGCAGGAAGACAAAUCCGUGAAGAAAAUAGAUAUAGUUGAUGAUAUACAAAGUCAGCAUUGUAUUCCGGAUGCUCUAACUGAAGAAACCAUAGCAAAGAUUCGGGAAAUAGAGUGCACGAUGCAAGACCAGCUCCAGAUCAAAGGAAUCAUGGACAAAAUUGGAGAUCGUUUGAUGAGCCAAGCUGGCCAGAUCCUUGUUAUCCUCAAACUUGAUGAUGACUGGGUAUCUAGAUGGGAGGAGACCAAAAAUGUUUUCAGCAUGUUUGGUCGCAUAACUGAUAACCCGAAGAUUUAUAUUGACAUCUUGGACAAGUGUAAGCAACAAGAAUUCUGCAUGAAGAUCUUCAUUCAUGCUUUGCACGCCAACCCCAAGAGGAGCCAUGAAGAGCUAAGCAAGUUGCACAAAGCCCUGCAGCCGGUACCUCAAGCUUCACCCACAUCUGGGCACAACUCAUUGGACGGCAAUAUCAUUGCUAAGAAGAUGUUCAUGUUCUCUUACAGUGACCUGCCUAAGGAAUACAGGUCCUGCUUGCUAUACCUAGCAAUUUUCCCUCGACGACAACACAUCAGGCGGUCAACCUUGAUAGGACGGUGGGUUGUAGAGGGGUUGAUGACCAAGCAAGACUGGGUGAAGAGCUGUGUAAUAGGUGAUGUAGUUCAUGGAUUCAUAACCAAGAUCGCCAGAAAACAGUGCAUUAUAGAAACACGGCUGUCACAUUACUUGGCUCGCCACUUCUCCAUUUUCAACAAUCUUCGAAUCCGUCGCUCUGAUAAAAUCAACAGAUUCUUCGAAAAGCUCUAUGAAGAAUCAUUUCGAGUAUCCAUUAUCAAGGUGCUAGAUCUAGAAGGAUGUAAAUGCUUCGGUUGUAAGAACCAGCGGUACCUCAAGGACAUCUGCAGAACAAUGGAUGAUCUGAAGGUCCUCAACAAACUUCCCAAUAUAGUUUGUCUCAGGCUACGAGACAAAGCAUACAUCGACAGCAAGCUCACCUUUGAGAAUGACAAAUUCAAAAAUCUCAAGUGCUUUCUUGUUGAGGGCUCUAACAUGACUGACAUCUUGUUUGAAGGUGGGGCCCUUAAGCUGGAGAAGAUCACUUUAUGCUCAACCGAUGGCAUACAAUCUCUUUCUGGGGUCGAAGCCCUUCCAGAACUGAAGGAAGUCGAGUUGAACAACAACAACAACAACAAGCUUUCAUUAUUUGACAAGGCUGAGAAAGUUCCCAAGGUGACUCUUUGUAGUACCAAACUGAGCGAAGAUGACCUGAAAAUGUUCGCCAAGAUACGAUAUAUGUGCUGCCUAGUCCUGAAGGAGGAAGCUUGUGUUGAAAGCCGGAUUAAGUUCAACAAAGAUGAGUUCCCAAGUCUCAACCUUCUUAUUGUCGAUGGUUCUGCCAUCACCAAGAUAGAGUUCGCCAGCGGAUCUGCUCCUAAGCUCGAGAAAAUCAUCUGGUCCUUCACAAGGGGCACGGUGGGGAGUCUGUCAGGCAUUGACAACCUUCCAAAAUUGAAGGAGCUCGAGUUCAAUGGCGAAUUGAUCCCUAGCGCGAGGAGAAUUAGACACAAAGCCACCGGCCGGCGGAGGGAGGAGCUAGCAAGGGCGGAGCUUGCAUCGGGCGCCGUGAGCUCGCUGCUGGGCGUCAUCCGCAAUGAGGCCCUGCUGCUGGGCCGCGUCCGGCAUGACGUGCAGUUCAUCCAGGAGGAGAUGGAGAGCAUGCAGAGCUUCAUAGAGCACCUGUCAAAGAAGGCGCCCGGCGGUGGCGAGCAAGACGAGCAGAUGCGCACGUGGAUGAACCAGGUCCAACUGCUCGCCCAGGACAGCAACAACUGCAUCGACAUGUACCUGUACCGUGGCAACCCCGAGCUCCAUCUCGCCAGCGGCGGCCUCCGGCGCUACGUCUUCUGGCUUCCCUGGUUUGUGCACAAGAUUGUGGCGCAGCGUCGCGCGGCCAUCCAGCUGGGUGUGCUCAGGGAAAGGGCGCAUGACAUUGGCGAGCGGCGAACCAGGUAUGGCGUUGAGGUCCCGGCGAAGGAGGCGGCAGCGGCACUGUCGCCUACAGCGGAGGAGCAAGCAUCCUCAUCAUCCGCUAGUUCCGGAGAUGAAAAAGAAAAGAGCAACGAUCAACUCAUGCUAGCAAUGGCAACAACUAACCACUCUGGUGUAAGAGGGACAUUUUACCAGCCUCGUACGCCCGAGGAGAACACUAGGGUGAAGCUAGCAGAAUGGAUAGAGGAUGUCGCACAGCGCCACACUGCUGAGGGGGAGCCUGUACCAUCAGUCGCCAUUGUGGCACUGGAUAAGGAGGAAACCCUGGCUAUUGUGAAGGAAGCUUCGGCAAUGUGGGAUAAACAUUAACAAAUCCAAGCAAUGAACCUGGACAACAAGUUUGAAGAAAUCAAGAACACCAUGGAAAAAAUGAAGGGCGGACAGCUGCAGAUCAACUUGGAACAAAUGGAUGAAGACCCGCUGGGUCUGCCAGAAUCCGUUAAAGAUAAACCCUUAGGCGUACUCCUCCAAGCGUUGUGGCAUCUCAAGCACAAGCCAACUGAAGGUGCGCCUGCUACCAAACAAGACCUAGAAAGGAAGGAAGACACAAUCAGAGAUCUAGAAAGGAAGGAAGACACAAUCACACACGAGGCGAUCAUCAAGGGAACAUCCAAGAAGCUUAAAGGGCAUAUGGAAGAAGAUGAAGGAAAGGGAAUUGGUCUCAAUGAAGCCCAUUAUGAACAUAUCCUAAGGGAGGUGUUCCCCCAGGUGACCACCAAGAAGCGCCCACAGAUCCAAGAGCAAGCCAGCACCGUCAGCACCACUAGCACCAUUAUAUUGGUCGAGGAUCAAAUCAAAGAAAUGAUCCGCAAGGUCCUUCAGGAGAAAUCCGUGCACAAACCAGGUGUUGAGCUGCAGGAAGACAAAUCCACGAAGAAACCAAGUCCAGUUGAUCUGCAGGAAGACAAAUCCGUGAAGAAAAUAGAUAUAGUUGAUGAUAUACAAAGUCAGCAUUGUAUUCCGGAUGCUCUAACUGAAGAAACCAUAGCAAAGAUUCGGGAAAUAGAGUGCACGAUGCAAGACCAGCUCCAGAUCAAAGGAAUCAUGGACAAAAUUGGAGAUCGUUUGAUGAGCCAAGAUGGCCAGAUCCUUGAGCCUAUAGACUAUUGUCUUCUUGGCCUCUACCGUGAUACUGCACUUGAGCUUACAAAAAACCACAUGCUUGGAGAUAACCCGAAGAUUUAUCUUGACAUCUUGGACAAGCGAAUACAGGUCCUGCUUGCUAUACCUAGCAAUUUUCCCUCGACGACAACACAUCAGGCGGUCAACCUUGAUAGGACGGUGGGUUGUAGAGGGGUUGAUGACCAAGCAAGACUGGGUGAUGUAGUUCAUGGAUUCAUAACCAAGAUCGCCAGAAAACAGCGCAUUAUAGAAACACGGCUGUCACAUUACUUGGCUCGCCACUUCUCCAUUUUCAACAAUCUUCGAAUCCGUCGCUCUGAUAAAAUCAACAGAUUCUUCGAAAAGCUCUAUGAAGAAUCAUUUCGAGUAUCCAUUAUCAAGGUGCUAGAUCUAGAAGGAUGUAAAUGCUUCAGUUGUAAGAACCAGUGUUACCUCAAGGACAUCUGCAGAACAAUGGUACUGCUCAAGUAUCUGAGUCUCAGGGGAACAGAUGUUAAACAGCUGCCUAGUGAAAUCAACAACCUCCGUGAGCUGGAAGUAUUGGAUAUUCGGGACACCCAUGUGCCCGAGUCUGCAAUAAUCGGAAAAAUGUUAAAUAUGGAGGUAUUGUCCAAUGUCAAGGCACAGAAUCAUCAAGUUUUGAAAGAUAUUGGAAAGCUGUGGCAACUAAGGAAGCUUGGUGUGGUUAUUGGAGACAAUGACAAACUCAUUAGGAAUUUGCUUCGAGCUAUUAGUGACUUGCAUGAGUGCCUCAGGUCUCUGUCAAUCACUCUUCCCAUGACUAAGCAAGAUCCUUCCAACGAAGAUUUUCCAAAUACUGUUCUCCAAUAUUAUAAACAACCUCCCAAGCUUCUUCUUGAGAGCCUAAGCAUUACUGGAACCACAAAAAAGGGGCAACUUCUUCAAGUGCUGAACAAACAUAACUACUUCUUGCAACUUGCGAAGAUAACUCUAACUGGAACCCGACUGAAGCAGGAUGAUCUGAAGGUCCUCAACAAACUUCCCAAUAUAGUUUGUCUCAGGCUACGAGACAAAGCAUACAUGGACAGCAAGCUCACCUUCGAGAAUGACAAAUUCAAAAAUCUCAAGGUCGAAGCCCUUCCAGAACUGAAGGAAGUCGAGUUGAACAACAACAACAACAAGCUUUCAUUAUUUGACAAGGCUGAGAAAGUUCCCAAGGUGACUCUUUGUAGUACCAAACUGAGCGAAGAUGACCUGAAAAUGUUCGCCAAGAUACGAUAUAUGCGCUGCCUAGUCCUGAAGGAGGAAGCUUGUGUUGAAAGCCGGAUUAAGUUCAACAAAGAUGAGUUCCCAAGUCUCACCCUUCUUAUUGUCGAUGGUUCUGCCAUCACCAAGAUAGAGUUCGCCAGCGGAUCUGCUCCUAAGCUCAAGAAAAUCAUCUGGUCCUUCACAAGGGGCACGGUGGGGAGUCUGUCAGGCAUUGACAACCUUCCAAAAUUGAAGGAGCUCGAGUUCAAUGGCGAAUUGAUCCCUGUUGAGUUGAAAGAAGCAAUUAACAAACAUAAAAGUGAACCAAAUCUUAUACACAACAAACCAGAAAACCAAUACCAAGAAAUGGGAAACAUAGAAGAAAUGGGCAAGGCUGCAAGAUUCCCAUCCUGCUGGAAGAGCCAGGAUUGA
rnacentral:rRNA from 1 species